UGCCUCUUCAAUGCGGUUGGGUAUGCUAUCGACCAUGACAAGAAAAAAGCUCCUGAGUUGAGACAGGUAUAUGGACAUUCAGGGAUUAUAAGUACACCAGUCAUUUAAGGUUAUAGCAGCAACAGUAGCAAGUGAUCCAACUAAGUAUUCUGAAGCAUUUCUCGGUAAAC